rnacentral:rRNA from 2 species
UACAGAGGGUGCGAGCGUUGUCCGGAAUCACUGGGCGUAAAGGGCGCGUAGGUGGCGACCCAAGUCAAUGGUGAAAGCUCGAUGCUCAACAUCGAGUCGGCCACUGAUACUGGGUUGCUCGAGCACUGUAGAGGCAGAUGGAAUUCCGGGUGUAGCGGUGGAAUGCGUAGAGAUCCGGAAGAACACCGGUGGCGAAGGCGGUCUGCUGGGCAGUUGCUGACACUGAGGCGCGACAGCGUGGGGAGCAAACAGG